ensembl:snRNA U4 U4 spliceosomal RNA
AGCUUUGCACAUUGGCAGUAUCAUAGCCAAUGAGGUUUAUCUGAGGCGUGAUUAUUGCUAACUGAAAAAUAAGUAUGCAUUAAAAAAAUAUUCAUUUCCAAAAAAUAUAAGGAAUAAACUAUCACUACAUGGGAUUCUUUUGAAGA